AAUAAGCUAAUUAAGAGCGUAAGGUGGAUGCCUUGGCUCUCAGAGGCGAUGAAGGACGUGAUAAGCUGCGAUAAGCUACGGGGAUUGGCACACACAAUUUGAUCCGUAGAUUUCCGAAUGGGGAAACCCACUAUAUUGAAGAUAUAGUAUCCGUUAAGGAAGCAAACCCAGGGAACUGAAACAUCUAAGUACCUGGAGGAAUAGAAAACAAAAGUGAUUCCGCUAGUAGUGGCGAGCGAACGCGGAUCAGCCCAAACCAAAAUUGUUUCGGCAAUUUUGGGGUUGUAGGACCACGACAUUGAAUGUUUAAUGAAUUAGAAUUCUUUGGAAAAAGAAACCAUAGAGGGUGAUAGUCC
rnacentral:rRNA from 1 species